UACGGAGGAUGCGAGCGUUAUCCGGAUUUAUUGGGUUUAAAGGGUGCGUAGGCGGACGCUUAAGUCAGCGGUAAAAUUGCGGGGCUCAACCUCGUCGAGCCGUUGAAACUGGGUGCCUUGAGUGGGCGAGAAGUACGCGGAAUGCGUGGUGUAGCGGUGAAAUGCAUAGAUAUCACGCAGAACUCCGAUUGCGAAGGUAGCGUACCGGCGCCCAACUGACGCUGAAGCACGAAGGCGUGGGUAUCGAACAGG
rnacentral:rRNA from 1 species